CCUACGGGAGGCAGCAGUAGGGAAUCUUCCACAAUGGGCGAAAGCCUGAUGGAGCAACGCCGCGUGGGUGAAGAAGGUCUUCGGAUCGUAAAACCCUGUUGUUAGAGAAGAACGUGCGUGAGAGUAACUGUUCACGUUUCGACGGUAUCUAACCAGAAAGCAACGGCUAACUACGUGCCAGCAGCCGCGGUAAUACGUAGGUGGCAAGCGUUAGCCGGAUUUAUUGGGCGUAAAGGGAACGGAGGCGGUCUUUUAAGUCUGAUGUGAAAUCCUUGGGCUUAACCGGAGUAGUGCAUUGGAAACUGGGAGACUUGAGUGCAGAAGAGGAGAGUGGAACUCCAUGUGUAGCGGUGAAAUGCGUAGAUAUAUGGAAGAACACCAGUGGCGAAAGCGGCUCUCUGGUCUGUAACUGACGCUGAGGUUCGAAAGCGUGGGUAGCAAACAGGAUUAGAUACCCUUGUAGUC
rnacentral:rRNA from 1 species